rnacentral:rRNA from 1 species
CCCUUAGAUGUUCUGGGCCGCACGCGCGCUACACUGAUGCAUUCAACGAGCCUAUCCUUGACCGACAGGUCCGGGUAAUCUUUGAAUCUGCAUCGUGACGGGGAUAGAAUAUUGUAAUUAUUACUCUUCAACGAGGAAUUCCUAGUAAGCGCCAGUCAGCAGCUUGCGCUGAUUACGUCCCUGCCCUUUGUACACACCGCCCGUCGCUCCUACCGAUGGGUGAUCCGGUGAAUGAUUCGGACUUCAGCGGCUCCCCUGGGGUGCGCCGGAGAAAGUUUUGUGAACCUUAUCACUUGGAGGAAGGAGAAGUCGUAACA